UACGUAGGGUGCAAGCGUUUAAUCGGAAUUACUGGGCGUAAAGCGUGCGCAGGCGGUUGUGCAAGACAGAUGUGAAAUCCCCGGGCUUAACCUGGGAACUGCAUUUGUGACUGCACGGCUAGAGUGCGGCAGAGGGGGAUGGAAUUCCGCGUGUAGCAGUGAAAUGCGUAGAUAUGCGGAGGACACCGAUGGCGAAGGCAAUCCCCUGGGCCUGCACUGACGCUCAUGCACGAAAGCGUGGGGAGCAACAG
rnacentral:rRNA from 1 species